CCUACGGGAGGCAGCAGUGGGGGAUAUUGCACAAUGGGGGGAACCCUGAUGCAGCGACGCCGCGUGGGUGAAGGAGCGCCUCGGCGCGUAAAGCCCUAUCGGCAGGGAAGAAAAUGACGGUACCUGACGAAGAAGCCCCGGCUAACUACGUGCCAGCAGCCGCGGUAAUACGUAGGGGGCAAGCGUUAUCCGGAUUUACUGGGUGUAAAGGGGGCGCAGACGGCGAUGCAAGCCAGGAGUGAAAGCCCGGGGCCCAACCCCGGGACUGCUCUUGGAACUGCGUGGCUGGAGUGCAGGAGGGGCAGGCGGAAUUCCUGGUGUAGCGGUGAAAUGCGUAGAUAUUAGGAGGAACACCGGUGGCGAAGGCGGCCUGCUGGACUGUAACUGACGUUGAGGCCCGAAGGCGUGGGGAGCAAACAGGAUUAGAUACCCCGGUAGUC
rnacentral:rRNA from 1 species